rnacentral:rRNA from 1 species
AGUGAACGCUGGCGGUAGGCCUAACACAUGCAAGUCGAACGGCAGCACAGUAAGAGCUUGCUCUUACGGGUGGCGAGUGGCGGACGGGUGAGGAAUACAUCGGAAUCUACUUUUUCGUGGGGGAUAACGUAGGGAAACUUACGCUAAUACCGCAUACGACCUACGGGUGAAAGCAGGGGAUCUUCGGACCUUGCGCGAUUGAAUGAGCCGAUGUCGGAUUAGCUAGUUGGCGGGGUAAAGGCCCACCAAGGCGACGAUCCGUAGCUGGUCUGAGAGGAGGAUCAGCCACACUGGAACUGAGACACGGUCCAGACUCCUACGGGAGGCAGCAGUGGGGAAUAUUGGACAAGGGGCGCAAGCCUGAUCCAGCCAUACCGCGUGGGUGAAGAAGGCCUUCGGGUUGUAAAGCCCUUUUGUUGGGAAAGAAAAGCAGCAGGUUAAUACCCCGCUGUUCUGACGGUACCCAAAGAAUAAGCACCGGCUAACUUCGU